rnacentral:rRNA from 3 species
CAGUGAUAAACUGGAGGAAGGUGGGGAUGACGUCAAGUCAUCAUGGCCCUUACGACCAGGGCUACACACGUGCUACAAUGGCGCAUACAAAGAGAAGCGACCUCGCGAGAGCAAGCGGACCUCAUAAAGUGCGUCGUAGUCCGGAUUGGAGUCUGCAACUCGACUCCAUGAAGUCGGAAUCGCUAGUAAUCGUGGAUCAGAAUGCCACGGUGAAUACGUUCCCGGGCCUUGUACACACCGCCCGUCACACCAUGGGAGUGGGUUGCAAAAGAAGUAGGUAGC